AAUUCACCGAAUCGGAUAGUUAAUAAAUUUCUUAGAUUUAUCAUCAUUUCUAUAUUCAGGAGUUAUCCAAGGUGCUGACCUUGGUAAAUGU
rnacentral:tRNA from 1 species